UCUGAGAAGACACCAAAAGCCUCUUUAGAAGAGUGGGUCAUGCUUUGUACCAUGUGCCCUGCUCCUACCAGGACCCCUGAGGUCUGAUUCAAGGUCCACUGCAGCCAGCAGGAGAAGAGGAGAAAGCAGGAGGUCCAAACACCUUGGAGUUCUUGUUAGGACUUGAGAGCUGAUGGUAUGAUAGUAUUGCAGAUUGCAGGAUACCCUACCUCAGCCCUGGUCACAAGGAUGCGAAUCAAGGUAUCUUCAUCAGUCCCAGCUCCUUUCAUUGACUCGUGCAGAAGUGUAGCAAAGUAACCUGGACAGUCUUUGGCACAGCUGACUGAAGAAUAGUAAGAGACUUCAUUACACUUACAUAUUUACACUUUGUAUUACGUCUUCAGUGAGAAGGAAAUAAGUAAGGAAGAAAUACAGAAAACUCUCUAGUGUUAUAAUCAUGUAGACAUAUGAACUGGGAGGGUUUUUAUUUUAUAACUAGCUCCCAGGAGCGAGUCUGGAAUCUGAAUGGAGUCACACAUUUCUCCAGGGGGAAAGUUUAUUACACAGAUCAACACUGACUCCACUGCUACUCCACAGUGAAAAUGAAAUGAAUGGGGAUGAGCAUUUGCCCAUCUGGAGUUCUCCUUGAUGAUAUAUUUACUGUGUCCAGGCCUGGGACACCCGACACAAGAAAAACGUGGAGCCAUUGUUAUGGGUCCAGAGGAGGCUAAGGAGAUGAUGAAAGGGCUGGAGCACAUCUUUUAUGAAGAAAGGUAGAGGGAGCUGGACUUGUUUAGCUUGGAGAAGGUUCUAGGGAGACCUCACUGCAGACUUCUAGUACUUGGGGGGGGAGCUCAUAAACAGGAGGGAGACCAACAUUUACACAAUCUGAUAGCGAUAGGACAAGGGUGAAUAGCUUUAAACUAAAAGAGGUGAGAUUUAGGUUCAAUCUUAGUAAGAAUUUUUUUACUCAGAGGGUGGUGAGGCCCUGGCACAGGCUGAUCACAGAAGCUAUGGGUGCUCCAUCCCUGGAGGUGUUCAAGACCAGGUUGGAUGGGGCCCUGGGCAGCCUGAGCUGAUGGGAGGCAACCCUGCCCAUGGCAGGGAGUUGGGACUGGAUGUUCUUUAAAGUUCUUUCAAACACAAGCCAUUCUAUGAUUUUAUGACUCUAUGAUAUAUUCUUAUGGUACUUACUCACCUGCAGCUUAGAGGGGCAAGAUCUGGGAGAGCCCAGAUCCACACAGAUAAAAUCAAUACCAGUAAGCUAAUGAGAUCCAGGGUACAGGUGUAAAAACUGGUCACAGUCAUCCCCAGUGCUAAAUGGCCAAUAGGGACCUGUACGUUUUUGCAGUAGCAUUGUAGCACACUGCUGAUGAUGCCCAGGCUGGAAGUUAUUCACAAUCAUGGCCUCAGGGGCAUUUUAGAGAGCAAAUAAUACAGCCAUGGGGAGGAGCUGUAUCUGGAAAGAUUUAUUUUUAAAAUCAGGGGCUCCACAUCACUACUGAAACCUGUCUCUCCUUUUCCUAGCAGAUAGGUCAGCUUCAGUUUAGGGCUACCUCAGUAACUGUCACCAGACUGUUCAAAGAACUCCCAAGAACUAAUGUCACAGGAGGGUAAGAACUAGAAAAGAAAGGUCUUAAUGCUUUUUUUUUUUUUUUUACCAAGAGUGAGAUAAGCUUUCUCCAGAUCUCCUGAUGUUUCACUUUUAAUGGAUUCUUCUAUGUCUUUUCCACACAUCUACAAGGACAACAAAACAUAGCUAUAAGAGUUGCUCCCUGCACACGUCAUAGCACUGCCAUAAAACCCACCUCAUGUUUAGGAUCCAAUGGCAAAAGCCAAAUUCACAUCCUUUCAGCUCUUUACAAAGGAGUAAUUCAUGGACAAAUGAAGCUUUUCUCUGGUUUAAGUGCUCACAGAUCCACUGGCACCAAGAAAACAGGGCCUACAAGGCCUGGUAAGGCACAGCGGCUAGGAGAUGGAUAACAUCAAUCAAGCAGCUGUGCUCAUAUCAGAGGGCUUCUAGAACAAAGAAGCUUCAGCUUCUUGAGUGACCCCGAGUCUAGGAAAAAGUCUCUGAGUUCCCUCUAAUCCUUUUAUCAAGGCUCUGGAUAGUUUCCACACAAAGAAGAUAAAUUUUGGAGCUUUACCAGCUCUGUGAAGUUUUGUUACUUAUUGUCUUUGGCUUCCCAGGGAAAGUUUACAAGCACUUCAGUUGUUCCCAAGUUUUUGUAUUAUUCUGUAGAGAAGGGGAAAAAGAGACUGCCACUUCAGAACAUAGUUCAUUUUGACCUAGUGAAUUUUCUGAACCUCAAAGCCUUUUACUUUGCUUUGUUUUGCUAUCUGGAUGGCUCUGCAUGUUUCAAAAAUCCAGUGGACUUUAGUUCAGAUCUAGGAGAACACAAAUACAAGACAGAAAUGGGUACCUUGUGAGGUUCUGAAAACCCAGUUUCAUAUUGAUCUGUACUUAUCUUUCCAAAAGUGAAGAAGGACUGAUGUUUGCAUGGCUCUAAUCUGGGUCCCCUUCCUCAUAUACAGACAGACAAGAUGUGGUAGAUUGGUUUGGGCAAUAUGAUCUUCUUGGCUUUUGGAAUCAAAAAGUGAAGGUAGCUUUGAACCCCCAGGGUAUGGGCAUCUCCGAGGGAGUAUCAAUUAGUGACUGGUUUUGUUCUGCCAGCAACAAACCAAAAGUUGGAUUAAGGUUCAGACAUUUUUCCAACUAAGGAUUCCUUAUUAUGAUGACAUUGAAAGAAGACUGUGACUGAAGGUCUUCUAUCUUCAGUGCUUAGGGUCACAGUUUUCUGAUGAACUCGGAGUCAUCCUAGCGAAGCUUGGGUUUCUGAGCCAGAGGCUGGAGAGGAGCCCUCUCCAAAGAGCAAACAUCACUGCUGAGCUUCCACCUAGCUGCUGGGAGAAGAAUGUUGCAUCUUCCUUUGCUUGAGCUUUCACAGGUCAAAUAAACAGCCAAGAUUCUGCUUCUUACUUUGUCUUUUGCUUGGGGGUAGAGGAGAGCGCAGCAAAGUACCUGCUGUCUGCUCAGAGGAGGCUGGAGAUGCACCUCUGUCCUAAAUGAAGGGCUGUGGAUGAGUGCAAUGGCGAGGAUGGGAAUAGGCACCCCUAGACACACCAAGGUCUCAUGAGUAAGCCAGGGACAGACCCAGCAUGCAUUCACCCAGCUGUGUGCCACCUCACUGCCCCAGAAUGGUCAACCCUCCCGCUGCAGGAACGGGCACACUCAUCAUCAUGCAGCUGUGGGACAUCACAACUUUUGUUUGGUUGGAUGCUGUGUGGUUUAUGAAAGGCAAUAUCCUCUGCUUAACUGGCAGCCGAUACAGCUUUUUCUCUCUGUAAGAUCAGGAUCCGGUCAUACAGAAAUAAUUUCCAAAUUCCUUUUAAAAUAGCAAAUAAAGGAUCACCUUCUCUACACGUCGUUACAGGGUCUGCAAGCUAAACAUUACAUCCUGUACAACCCACAUCACAGAAGGGAAUGACUCACCUUUUCGUAGGCCUGAAAAGUUGCUCUCAGCUGACUGUAGCUUCUCUUUGCUAAGACAACAUUGAAAGCCAGCUCCUCUGUUCCCCAGCGGCCUUCUCCUGCCUUAGAUAUUGCAUGUUAAUUUUUGGAUGCACUUGUUUAUUGCCACAUGCUCAGUGCAUUUUGUCACCAUCUCAUUGCUGAGCAGCACCAGAUAAUUCUUGUUUUUCUUUCUUUCUGUAGUUUCACUUACUUUAUACAGAUCUGAGGCAUCCUGCUCAGCAAGCUCUGUGUUGACCUGCUGGUUCUCAUCUCGGGUUGCCUACAGAAAAGGACAUUACAGUGGAAAAAGAGACUCAAGUGCUGGUUAGUUUGUAGUGAAGGGGAAGAUGGUCAUUUAGUGGCCUUCGCAAACAUUUUGGUUGUAGUUUUGCUGCCACCUGCUGACAACUGCUUAGUAAUGGGCCACUGUACAGCACAGAAUUGAAUGGUCCAAGUUUAGCACAGACUUGAGGUGAAGCCUGCACAUUAAUUAUCGCUGUGUACUCCCUGAGAGCUGUGAAAUAUUCCUCAAUAAAUUGAUAUAAUGCA